rnacentral:ncRNA from 1 species
GGGUCGAGCCCGACCGGCUCCCGGACGAGGGUGGUCGUACCCGGAGUGCGACAAGACGACCACGU